rnacentral:rRNA from 1 species
UCAGGCGUAACCCAUGCAACUCGAGGGGUAGCAGGAUUAAGCUUGCUUAGUUGAAAAAAACAGGCGCACGGGUGCGUAACGCGUAUGCAACCUACCUUAUACUGGGGUAUAGCCCGGAGAAAUUCGGAUUAAUCCCCCAUAGUACUAAUGAAUCGCAUGGUUUAUUAGUCGAGCGUCAGCGGUAUAAGAUGGGCAUGCGUCCUAUUAGCUAGAUGGUGAGUGACGGCUCACCAUGGCUACGAUAGGUAGGGGCCCUGAGGGGGGGUCCCCCUCUCAGAAAUGGACACGGACCAGACUCCUACGGGAGGCAGCAGUGAGGAAUAUUGGUCAAUGG